rnacentral:rRNA from 1 species
AUACGGAGGGGGUUAGCGUUGUUCGGAAUUACUGGGCGUAAAGCGCACGUAGGCGGACUGGAAAGUUGAGGGUGAAAUCCCGGGGCUCAACCCCGGAACUGCCUCCAAAACUUCCAAUCUAGAGAUCGAGAGAGGUGAGUGGAAUUCCAAGUGUAGAGGUGAAAUUCGUAGAUAUUUGGAGGAACACCAGUGGCGAAGGCGGCUCACUGGCUCGAUACUGACGCUGAGGUGCGAAAGCGUGGGGAGCAAACAGGAUUAGAAACCCUAGUAGUCC